rnacentral:rRNA from 1 species
AGAGUUUGAUCCUGGCUCAGGAUAAACGCUGGCGGCGUGCAUAACACAUUCAAGUCGAACGAAGCACUUCGGAACGAGACUUCGGUCAAGGGAAGAUUUGACUUAGUGGCGGACGGGUGAGUAACGCGUGAGCAAUCUGCCUCGGGGUGCGGGAUAACGUUUGGAAACGAACGCUAAUACCGCAUGACGCAUACCUUUCGCAUGUGAGGUAUGCCAAAGGUUUACUGCCCUGAGAUGAGCUCGCGUCCGAUUAGAUAGUUGGUAAGGUAACGGCUUACCAAGUCUACGAUCGGUAGCCGGACUGAGAGGUUGAACGGCCACAUUGGAACUGAGAGACGGUCCAGACUCCUACGGGAGGCAGCAGUGGGGAAUAUUGGGCAAUGGGCGAAAGCCUGAACCCCAGCGACGCCGCGUGAGGGAAGAAGGUCUUCGGAUUGUAAACCUCUUUCAGCAGGGAAGAAGGAAGUGACGGUACCUGCAGAAGAAGCCACGGCUAACUACGUGCCAGCCGCCGC